rnacentral:rRNA from 1 species
AGAGGAAUAUUGGUCAAUGGGCGCAAGCCUGAACCAGCCAUCCCGCGUGCAGGAAGACGGCGCUAUGCGUUGUAAACUGCUUUUCCAGGGAGAGAAACUUGCGCACGUGUUGCGCAAUUGACGGUACCCUGGGAAUAAGCAUCGGCUAACUCCGUGCCAGCAGCCGCGGUAAUACGGAGGAUGCGAGCGUUAUCCGGAUUCAUUGGGUUUAAAGAGUGCGUAGGCGGACUAUUAAGUCAGUGGUGAAAUCCUGCAGCUUAACUGCAGAACCGCCAUUGAUACUGAUAGCCUUGAGUUUGGUUAAGGUAGGCGGAAUGUGUAAUGUAGCGGUGAAAUGCUUAGAUAUUACACAGAACACCAAUUGCGUAGGCAGCUUACUGAGCCGACACUGACGCUGAGGCACGAAAGCGUGGGGAUCGAACAG